UACGUAGGGUGCAAGCGUUGUCCGGAAUUAUUGGGCGUAAAGAGCUCGUAGGCGGUCUGUCGCGUCGGCUGUGAAAACCCGGAGCUCAACUCCGGGCCUGCAGUCGAUACGGGCAGACUGGAGUUCGGCAGGGGAGACUGGAAUUCCUGGUGUAGCGGUGAAAUGCGCAGAUAUCAGGAGGAACACCGGUGGCGAAGGCGGUGAGCUGGGCAGUUGCUGACACUGAGGCGCGACAGCGUGGGGAGCAAACAGG
rnacentral:rRNA from 1 species